rnacentral:rRNA from 1 species
GACGAACGCUGGCGGUGUGCUUAACACAUGCAAGUCGAACGGUAAGGCCCUUUCGGGGGUACACGAGUGGCGAACGGGUGAGUAACACGUGAGUAACCUGCCCUCAUCUCUGGGAUAACAGUCGGAAACGGUUGCUAAUACUGGAUAUGAGCUUGCAAGGCAUCUUGUGGGUUGGAAAGAUUUUUUUUGGUUGGGGAUGGACUCGCGGCCUAUCAGCUUGUUGGUGAGGUAGUGGCUCACCAAGGCUUCGACGGGUAGCCGGCCUGAGAGGGCGACCGGCCACAUUGGGACUGAGAUACGGCCCAAACUCCUACGGGAGGCAGCAGUGGUGAAUAUUGCACAAUGGACGGAAGUCUGAUGCAGCAACGCCGCGUGCGGGAUGACGGCCUUCGGGUUGUAAACCGCUUUCAAUUGUGACGAAGCUUUUUUGUGACGGUAGCAGUAGAAGAAGCACCGGCUAACUACGUG